UGGGGAAUUUUGGACAAUGGGCGAAAGCCUGAUCCAGCAAUGCCGCGUGUGUGAAGAAGGCCUUCGGGUUGUAAAGCACUUUUGUCCGGAAAGAAAUCCUUGGCUCUAAUACAGUCGGGGGAUGACGGUACCGGAAGAAUAAGCACCGGCUAACUACGUGCCAGCAGCCGCGGUAAUACGUAGGGUGCAAGCGUUAAUCGGAAUUACUGGGCGUAAAGCGUGCGCAGGCGGUUUGCUAAGACCGAUGUGAAAUCCCCGGGCUCAACCUGGGAACUGCAUUGGUGACUGGCAGGCUAGAGUAUGGCAGAGGGGGGUAGAAUUCCACGUGUAGCAGUGAAAUGCGUAGAGAUGUGGAGGAAUACCGAUGGCGAAGGCAGCCCCCUGGGGCCAAUACUGACGCUCAUGCACGAAAGCGUGGGGAGCAAACAGGAUUAAAUACCCUGGUAGUCCACGCCCUAAAGCGAUGUCAACUAGUUGUUGGGGAUUCAUUUUCCUUAGUAACGUAGCUAACGCGUGAAGUUGACCGCCU
rnacentral:rRNA from 1 species